ACUCUUAUUUAGGGGGUUAAAAGAGCACGUGCCUUCUAAGCAUGUGGUCACAGGUUCGAAUCCUGUAGGGCGUGCCA
rnacentral:tRNA from 1 species